rnacentral:rRNA from 1 species
UACGAAGGAUGCAAGCGUUAUCCGGAUUUAUUGGGUUUAAAGGGAGCGUAGGCGGUCUUAUAAGUCAGUGGUGAAAUCUCGUUGCUUAACAACGACCGUGCCAUUGAUACUGUAGGACUUGAGUACAGUUGCCGUUGGCGGAAUGUGUCAUGUAGCGGUGAAAUGCAUAGAUAUGACACAGAACACCGAUUGCGAAGGCAGCUGACGAAACUGUAACUGACGCUGAGGCUCGAAAGCGUGGGGAGCAAACAGG